rnacentral:lncRNA from 1 species
CUGAGCCCAUUGUUCGGAGGACAGUCCAAGGCCUUGAUGUGGGCUCUGGGAGCAGAUAAAAUGCCAGCAGAGGGAUGUGUGUUUGCUCACAGCACUUCAGGAAACACAUGGGCUCGCUGACCACUGAUGAGCCCUCUUCAUUUCCUCUGAUUACGCAGGAGGACAAGGGCAGGUACAUACCGCAAAGAACAUCGUGCCUGCAGAUCUGAAAAGCUUUGUCAGAUGAAUAACGGCGUUGAGGUGAUGCACAGUCUGUGAAAUUCCAAGGAAACUCCCGGCAUUCAACUAAGUGCUCGGUUGUACACAAAAGAGCCGAAUAACCUGAGGUUAAUUAGGAGGAGGGACAGGCAAAAAACAUCCAAUGCACUGGUUUGUUUUCAGUUUAUGCCGAUGAUAGUGGAGAUUAUUUUGAUCAUCUAUGUAAUGUAGUGCAGUAAAAGCGCAAUAUUCAUCAUCACAAAGAGAAAGAGGGCAUAAAUGUCAGUUUUUGUUUUGGUAAUUUUUCUCCUCCAUAAUGUCUAACCUUUAAUGUAAAUGUUAUAAGCUGUGAUUGAAAUAUGAAAUUGUGCCCCAGUAAGCAUCUGAAGUAGUGACAAAGCUCGCAGGGUGAAACAGACCUGUGAUGUCUCAAAAGUGGUAUUUAUGUCAUUUUAGAUCCGCACUUUUGGAUACUAAUAUUUAAAUCUGUAAAAUAAGUGUUGACUUUUAUGACUCUCAUGAGGCCAGGUCACUCACCACCACAGAGUCAGAGGGAUAAAAAAUGAAGAGACUCAAUGAUUGUCUGGAACAAAGUGGUACAAAAGUCUAUCAAGUUAGAGGCUGAUGUCUGUCUUGCACUGGCUUUGUCUAUUUUCUGUCCAAACUAAGCAGUUCAGCAUUCUUGGCGCCAAAAUACCCACAGCGUCUGCAUUUAUUUGUUGCUGUGCUCUCAAUGCUCUUGGUUGAAAAUGCUGCUGCACUCAUCACUGUCACCAAUCAGAAUCAAGGAGGGGUGGGACUUUAAGGCGCCAUUUCUCCACAUGGAAACACUCUUACAGGCAGCUGAAAAUGCAAACUUUUUAAACCAGGUUCAAAAGUAGAAAUUUCAUGUAAAUGGCAUAUGAACCAACAACAUGCACUGCCCCAUUCGCACAUGCACAUUUGUUUGCAUUCAUCGUUCUGUUGAAAAAUGCCUGUAGACAAAGGCAGUGGUGUUUUACUUAAGAGUUAUACAGUCAACGACUGACCUGGUGUGCUUAUUCCAGCAUUUGCAGCUGUUUUUGUAAAUCCAUAUGCAUGCAGAUUGUGUUUGUGCAGCACUGGUUCACAGCAUGUGCAAACAGAUUUUUGUUUUUUACUGCAAAGGCGAGACUUGUCUAAACAAAACCUAAGGCAAUGGUCAUUAAUGCAGCAGGGCCAUUAAACAGCUGUCACUGAGCUGAAAUACAAUGUUACUGAGUGCACUUUUUAUUCUACUGAAAAACCGUCACCUUAAGAGAUUCCUUUAAAUUACAUAAAGAUUACAUGCACUUCUUCCAUUUCCUGCGUCUUUGGCACUAUAAAAUAAGACCUGACAGGCUGUGAGGACUUGCAGCAGUCUCCAGAAACAGGAGUGAAAGAACGUCUGGCUGCCCUUGUACCCAUAACCUCCCCCACACAUACACGCACACACUGAGCCCCUUAUCAUGAGUUGUCAUCAAACACUCAUAUCCUCACAUUGUCCCAGAGGAAAGCUGACCUCCCAGCUGUAGAUAUUAACUCGAUCCAACCCUCAUGUUUCCCUCCUCCCUCCAAGAAAAAGGGCACAGGGUGACAGGGUAGAAAACCUGCCCUCUGAAGGAGAAGUCAUUUCUUUUUCAGCCUGCAGUAAGUGGACAUGAAGAUCCUCAAGUGUCUAAAAUGAGAACAUGUCCCCUCCUCAGCUGGUGAUCUCCACCUCUAGCCUUUGCACACUCUUGUGCUCAGAUUUUGGAUGCAGCUGUGGCUUUGUGUGACGUUUGGAGGGUUAAUGGAGGGGUUGUAGGGUCAGUUUAAGGCACAGACGUGGGUGUUUAGAUAGGCUCAGGGCCAGGUCUGAGGAAAACACUCUUCGGCACAAUAGAGAUGGAACAAGAGACUCUUUUCUGUCUGUUAUUGUCUGUUUGCUUUCUCUGGAGCCAUCGCUCUUGCAUUUUUACUGUCAAUCUCUCCUGAUGAGCCUUUUCCUCUGUCACAGGACAAAUUAACAAAUAAAGGGGUCCUAGUUUGAAGCCCUGAGCAAUCCCUCUUCAUUUGUCUUUCUGGUGGUUUUUAACAAGCAAAGCAGUAAGAAAAAAAGUCUCCUCUUCUGCCAGUCUGCAUCCAUGGAAAAAAUGUGUUUAUUUUUCCUUAAACGACCCUAAUCUGAAAAGAUCUUAUUAGAAAUAAACUUUUAAUUACAUAGUUUAUGUACCAGAUGGCUAAGAAUGUAUGUUUUCCUUAUCUUACGGUAUCCCAUGACCUUUAGAGAAAAAUGUCUCCUUUUACGGACGUGGACGUCUCCUAUGGAAAGAUAAGCAUGAACACACUAAGCCCUGCGAGCUCUGCUCUGUCUGUGGUGAGUUGUGGGUGUCAGGUCAGCUGAUAGCGGUGUCACACAGGCAUUUUUAGCUGGAAACAGUCAGAGGCACGAUCAGGUUAUUUCUUUCUGAACAGAUGUAUCGAUGGUAAACCCACUGCACACUACUCGUGGUAUGAAAAAAACCCUCAGUAAUUCCUCUCUGACCUCAGUUCAGUAUAACAGUCUCUGUAUUUGCUCUGCAGAAAUUACUUUUUAUUUGAGGGGAAUUUGUCUGUAACGUUCACCUGUGAAUGAAUAUAAUCAUCAAAACCAGGCUACACGUAAAGUUAUCUCAAACCUAGCGACUCAAGUACAUAGAUGAAUUCAUGAACUUCAUCAACACGACUAGUUUUGUCCAAAAUGUGUGUGUUUUAACUGUCAUAAAACAAAAACUCUGUAGAAUUAUGAAAUUCACAAAACCAAAAGUUCUUACAGCACUUUUUGGUCAUACUGAACGGUCUUGGUUUGGUUGAAUUCUGUAAAAUUAACUGUAAAAUGAUUCUCAGCUCCAUAUGUACACUGUGUAUUGCUGGUUUUAGCUAAAUUACUUUGCUAUUUUGCCAAUUUAGCUUACCACAUUAUUUUAACUUUGACACAGUAGGCUGGUUACUUUUUUAAUUCUCAUUUCUGGCAAACUUUUUUGUUUACCAUCCUUUGUCGACGAUCUCCAACACCGAUCAAUCAUUUUUUCCAAGCAUUUUAACUUUGACUGGCUAGCUAAAGCAAUCUUGCUUAGACACGUUCUUCUGUUCAAGUUUUAGCAGACUAUUUUGUAACUGAUAGAUCUGUCUAUUUCACAAUGCAGCUGCUACUGUAAGCUAACUAGCUUAACUCCUUUUAGCUAACUGUUUAACCACUAAACUAUUACUUUUUAGCUAACUUGUAGUUUCUGUUACUUCAUUAUUUUGAGCUAAUAAACAAAUCUUUCAGCAAAAAUUUUGACUAAAUAUCUAUUAGUGUCAAACUGAUGACUAAUUAUUUAGCCUCCUGUCAGAACUGUUGUUUGAUUAUUUAAGCUAACAGUUUAUUAGCUCGGCUGCUAACCAGGCUUGAAUUCAGGAUGCACUACAGUAGCUAACAGGUUUUAUGCAGGUUUUUAGGGUCCUCCAUUACACUGACAGCCUUUUAUUUGCAUUUCUUGCUGAUGAUAAUAAACACAGCAUGUGAUUAUUGAUAAGAUAAGUCAGCUAACUGCAAACAGGCUGUUUCUACUCGAGUGCAGGGCCUCUGCCUCCUCACUAUCACUUCUUCUGUGUUAUGUCAUAGUUAAUCACAAGUCAUACAACUAAUCCCCCGUUCUUCACUUCUGUAAAUAUAGGGAGUACAUUUUAAAAUAAACUAUCUUUAUUAAUGCUUGGUUAAAGAUGUAGAGAUUAGUAUAGCACAACAAUGAUAUCUCUGCAGCCAGUGGAAAAAAGAGCACAAGGCUGAAGAGCACUAAACCACUAAGUCUGUUUGUUUUUGUUUUUUUUACUAGAGCUCUCUCGUUGUGCACUGUUUAACUUCUGUCUGUGUUGUGAUUUGUAUUAUCUCUUUUUAUCUUGUUAACAGGCACCACACGCAAGAUACCAUCAAGAGUAUCCAGAGUGUCUGGCAUCCACAUUAGCCCCUGAAAGC